AAAAACUGUGUCAUAAGAAAUCUGAGGUCUCCUGGAUGGGUGACUGUGGUAAUGACUUUGCCUUCGGCUGUGGAAAAUUUCGGCAGAAGUUCC